UGGGGAAUCGUCUAGUGGUAGGACUGCGGACUCUGACUCCGCCAACGGGGGUUCAAAUCCCUCUUCCCCAGCCA
rnacentral:tRNA from 1 species